CCUACGGGUGGCAGCAGGGAGGAAUAUUGGUCAAUGGACGAGAGUCUGAACCAGCCAAGUAGCGUGAAGGAUGACUGCCCUAUGGGUUGUAAACUUCUUUUAUAUGGGAAUAAAAUGUUCCACGUGUGGGCUUUUGUAUGUACCAUAUGAAUAAGGAUCGGCUAACUCCGUGCCAGCAGCCGCGGUAAUACGGAGGAUCCGAGCGUUAUCCGGAUUUAUUGGGUUUAAAGGGAGCGUAGGUGGAUUGUUAAGUCAGUUGUGAAAGUUUGCGGCUCAACCGUAAAAUUGCAGUUGAAACUGGCAGUCUUGAGUACAGUAGAGGUAGGCGGAAUUCGUGGUGUAGCGGUGAAAUGCUUAGAUAUCACGAAGAACUCCGAUUGCGAAGGCAGCUCACUGGACUGCAACUGACACUGAGGCUCGAAAGUGUGGGUAUCAAACAGGAUUAGAUACCCUGGUAGUC
rnacentral:rRNA from 1 species